rnacentral:rRNA from 1 species
UGGGGAAUAUUGCGCAAUGGGGGAAACCCUGACGCAGCAACGCCGUGUGAGCGAUGAAGGCCUUCGGGUUGUAAAGCUCUGUUAAAUAAGAAGAAACUCCCAUAUUCUAAUACAAUAUGGGAUUGACGGUAUUAUUAGAGAAAGCACCGGCUAACUCCGUGCCAGCAGCCGCGGUAAGACGGGGGGUGCAAGCGUUGUUCGGAAUUACUGGGCGUAAAGGGCGUGUAGGCGGUCUAAUAAGUUAGGUGUGAAAUCUUCAGGCUCAACCUGAAAAGUGCACUUAAAACUGUUAAACUAGAGAGUGGUAGGGGAAAGCGGAAUUCCUAGUGUAGAGGUGAAAUUCGUAGAUAUUAGGAAGAACACCGGCGGCGAAGGCGGCUUUCUGGACCAUUUCUGACGCUGAGACGCGAAAGCGUGGGGAGCAAACAGG